rnacentral:rRNA from 1 species
GACAGAGGGUGCAAACGUUGUUCGGAAUUACUGGGCGUAAAGCGCGUGUAGGCUGCUUGGAAAGUCGGAUGUGAAAGCCCUGGGCUCAACCUAGGAAGUGCAUUCGAAACUUCCAAGCUGGAGUGCUGGAGAGGAAGGCGGAAUUCUCGGUGUAGAGGUGAAAUUCGUAGAUAUCGAGAGGAACACCGGUGGCGAAGGCGGCCUUCUGGACAGUAACUGACGCUGAGACGCGAAAGCGUGGGGAGCAAACAGG